GAUGAACGCUGGCGGCGUGCCUAAUACAUGCAAGUCGAGCGAACAGACGAGGAGCUUGCUCCUCUGACGUUAGCGGCGGACGGGUGAGUAACACGUGGAUAACCUACCUAUAAGACUGGGAUAACUUCGGGAAACCGGAGCUAAUACCGGAUAAUAUAUUGAACCGCAUGGUUCAAUAGUGAAAGACGGUUUUGCUGUCACUUAUAGAUGGAUCCGCGCCGCAUUAGCUAGUUGGUAAGGUAACGGCUUACCAAGGCAACGAUGCGUAGCCGACCUGAGAGGGGGAUCGGCCACACUGGAGCUGAGACACGGUCCAGACUCCUACGGGAGGCAGCAGUAGGGAAUCUUCCGCAAUGGGCGAAAGCUUGACGGAGCAACGCCGCGUGAGUGAUGAAGGUCUUCGGAUCGUAAAACUCUGUUAUUAGGGAAGAACAAAUGUGUAAGUAACUAUGCACGUCUUGACGGUACCUAAUCAGAAAGCCACGGCUAACUACGUG
rnacentral:rRNA from 1 species